rnacentral:RNase_P_RNA from 1 species
AAAGUAAGCUGGGCAAUUGCCGGUGCAGUGCCGAAAGGCCGCACGGGAGGAAAGUCCGAGCUCCACAGGGCAGGGUGCCGGAUAACGUCCGGCGGGAGCAAUCCUAGGGAUAGUGCCACAGAAAUGUAGACCGCCGAUGGCCGUGCAAACGGAUCAGGCAAGGAUGCAACGGUGCGGUAAGAGCGCACCAGCAACCUGGAGACAGGUUGGCUAGGUAAACCCCACCUGGAGCAAGACCGGAUAGGAGCGCGCACGUGGCUGCCCGUCACGCGCUCGGGUAGGUCGCUUGAGCAUACUGGCAACAGCAUGCCUAGAUAGAUAAUUGCCGCCCCAACGUGCGAGGCAUGGGGGCGCCGUAUGCGGCUUUGCCGCAUACGGCCGCGUAGAUGCCGAUUGCAGCACAGGGGAACAGAACUCGGCUUAUAGGCUUGCUUUCCGA